rnacentral:rRNA from 1 species
UACGUAGGUCGCAAGCGUUGUCCGGAUUUACUGGGCGUAAAGAGCGCGCAGGCGGCUGGUCAAGUCCGAUGUGAAAUCUCCCGGCUCAACUGGGAAACUGCAUCGGAAACUGAUCGGCUUGAGUUCGGGAGAGGGAAGCGGAAUUCCGGGUGUAGCGGUGAAAUGCGUAGAUAUCCGGAGGAACACCGGUGGCGAAGGCGGCUUCCUGGACCGACACUGACGCUGAGGCGCGAAAGCUAGGGGAGCAAACGGG